GGGUCAGUAGGUUGGUCGUGCCACCGGUACGUACUGGUCUCACUGAUUCCUCCUUCCUGAAGAACCGUAAUGCCAUUUAUUUGGUGUUGCGGGGAAACAGGACUGUGACUUUGAAAAAAUUAGAGUGUUUAAAGCAAGCUAACGCUUGAAUACAUUAGCAUGUAAUAAUGAAAUAGGACGAUCGAUCCUAUUUUGUUGGUUUCUAGGAUUGACGUA
rnacentral:rRNA from 1 species